AGUACUACCUGAGGUUUCAGGCACCCACUGGGGAUCUUGGAACGUAUCCCCUGAGGGGGGAGGGGACUACCCUCUUGAGCGGCUGGUGAGGGAGAGUGGUUGGAACCUUCCCAUGUACAGCUCCUUAGCUGUUCCUUCUGAGAAUUCCAGCCAGCUUACCAAAACCUGAGGCAGAAAGUGGAUAAUUUUGUGUCAACACAUCUGGACAAGCAGGAAUGGAAUCCUACGAUGAACAAAAACCAGUUGCGAAAUGGUCUGAGGCAGAGUGUGGUUCAGUCAGGGAUGUUGGAAGCUGGAGUAGACAGGAUUAUUUCUCAGGUGGUGGAUCCAAAACUUAACCACAUCUUCAGGCC
rnacentral:lncRNA from 10 species